rfam:Aspergillus clavatus NRRL 1 1099423829806 genomic scaffold, whole genome shotgun sequence.
GACACUUUGGCCGAGUGGUUAAGGCGCAGGCCUGCUAAGCCUGUGGGUUCGCCCGCCUGGGUUCGAAUCCCAGAGGUGUCG